ACAACGAGGACAAGUCAGCCAGGAAGCAUGCCGAGUUUUGCUUUUGUAAGGAUCGGCUGAAGUUUUUUGCUUUCUUUUUUUGUGCAUUUUUGGCAAUGGUAAUUAACUGCACUGCUGGGGUGGAAAGAAACCCCAGAGAAGGGGUGUAACUGUAGGUUUGUGGGUGUUGUGGGAGUUUCUGGGGGUGUGCAGCAGCUGUUCAGAAAGGCUCGUAGCCCCUCUCACAAACCCGGCACAUAAAGGAGCCAUAGACAGCGGAGUGGGCAAUGGGAGGGGAGGACUUGCUGUGUAGCCAGCGGAGAUGGUGGUUUGAAUUCAGUACACGGCGGUAACGCAACAUCUCGGAUGCCAACCGCCAAUAACAACGAAGGAGGAGGAGGAGAAGAAGAAAAAGAAGAAGAGGAAGAAGAAGAAGACGAACCAUCAUGGCGGAGAAUGAAACCUUGGAGUGUAUAACGGAGCACGAACGAAUUUUACAGGAAAUUGAGAGCACUGACACGGCUUGUGUCGGUCCCACCCUGAGGUCUGUGUAUGAUGACCAGCCUAAUGCCCACAAGCGCUUCAUGGAGAAGCUUGAUGCAAGAAUACGGAAUCACGAUCGUGAGAUUGAGAAAAUGUGCAAUUUCCACCACCAAGGCUUUGUGGACGCCAUCACAGAGCUACUCAAAGUCCGCGCUGAUGCAGAGAAACUAAUGGGUCAAGUGACAGACACAAAUCGAAGACUACAGGAGGCUGGGAGGGAGGUGACUGUUCAGACAGAGGAGGUAAUCCGCUGUCGAAUCCAGCAGAGGAAUAUGGCCACCACCGUGGAAAAGCUGCAGCUCUGUAUUCCAGUUCUGGAAAUGUACAGUAAACUAAAGGAGCAGCUGGAAUCCAAAAGGUACUACGCUGCGUUGAAGACCAUGGAGCAGCUGGAGAAGGUCUACAUUCCCAGGGUCAACCAGUACAGGUUCUGCCAGAUCAUGGCAGAGAACCUACCCAUACUGAGAGAGGAGAUUAAGGAGAUCUCCAUGUCAGACCUCAAAGACUUUCUUGAGAGCAUCAGGAAGCACUCGGACAAGAUUGGAGAGACGGCGAUGAGACAGGCACAGCAACAUAGGACUUUUAACAGUGCCGUGGCUAAGCAGGCUAGUAUGGGCCACUACAUGAAGCCAGUGUACUCCCUCAACGGACGCACCCACACAGACACACACAACGCACUGAUGGUGGACGAAAUUGGAGAGGAGGAGGAAGGAGAUGAUGAGGUUCUUACAGCUCAGGAUUUGGUGGACUUCUCACCUGUCUACAGGUGUUUGCACAUCUACUCUGUACUGGGUGAUCGAGAAACGUUUGAGAAUUAUUACAGGAAACAGAGGAAGAAACAGGCCAGGCUGGUACUGCAACCACAGCCCAACAUGCAUGAGACAGUUGAUGGCUACAGGAAAUACUUCAAUCAGAUUGUCGGGUUCUUUGUGGUAGAGGACCACAUCCUUCAUGCCACGCAGGGCCUGGUGACCAGAGCGUUCACGGAGGAGCUGUGGAACAUGGCCCUGUCCAAGAUCAUCGCUGUGCUUCGUACACACUCUUCAUACUGUAAUGACCCAGACUUGGUGUUGGAGCUGAAGAACCUCAUUGUCAUAUUUGCUGACACCUUGCAGGGAUAUGGUUUCCAGGUGAACCGGCUGUUUGACCUUCUAUUUGAGAUCAGAGACCAGUACAAUGAGACCCUUCUCAAAAAAUGGGCAUUUGUCUUCAGGGAAAUCUUCGAGCUAGACAACUACAGUCCUAUACCCGUGGAGAGCGAUGAGGAGUACAAACUGGUGGUCAGCCGCUUUCCUUUCCAUGAUGCAGAGAUAGAGAAGCAGGACUUUCCCAAGAAGCUGCCUAUGUCCCAGUCUGUCCCUCAGAUCUACAUCCAGGUCAAAGAGUUCAUCUAUGCCAGCCUCAAGUUCUCAGAGUCCCUACAUCGCAGUUCAACAGAAAUUGAUGAUAUGCUACGAAAGUCAACCAACCUGCUUCUGACCAGAACACUUAGUGGCUGUCUGCAAAAUCUCAUCAAGAAACCACAUAUAGGUUUGACUGAGCUGGUACAGAUCAUCAUUAACACCACCCACUUGGAGCAGGCCUGCAGGUACCUGGAGGAAUUCAUAACAAACAUCACCAAUGUCUCCCCAGAGACCGUACACACCACAAGACUCUAUGGUUUGUCAACUUUCAAGGAUGCUCGUCAUGCUGCAGAAGGGGAGAUCUACACCAAGUUGAACCAGAAAAUUGAUGAAUUCAUCCAGCUAGCAGACUAUGAAUGGGGAAUGGCUGAGUCGGAUGGCCGUGCCUCUGGAUACCUCAUGGACCUGAUCAACUUCUUGCGCUCCACUUUCCAGGUCUUUACUCAUCUGCCGGGGAAAGUGGCCCAGACUGCAUGUAUGUCAGCCUGUAAGCAUCUUUCCACAUCGCUGAUGCAGAUGCUGCUGGACACUGAGCUCAAACAGAUCAGCAUGGGAGCCAUUCAGCAGUUCAACCUGGAUGUCAUUCAGUGUGAAUUGUUUGCCAGCUCAGAGCCAGUUCCGGGUUUCCAAGGAGACACACUACAGCUGGCCUUUAUCGACCUGCGGCAGCUCCUGGACCUGUUCAUGGUGUGGGACUGGUCCACCUACCUGGCAGAUUACGGGCAGUCCACGUCCAAAUACCUGAGAGUCAACCCUGCCACUGCCUUGGCUCUGCUGGAGAAAAUGAAGGAUACAAGCAAGAAGAACAACAUCUUCUGUCAGUUUAGGAAAAAUGACAGGGACAAACAGAAGCUGAUCGAGACGGUGGUCAAACAGCUGAGGAGCCUGGUCAAUGGCAUGUCACAGCAUUCCUAGACACACAUGUAAGACAAAGACACACACAUAAGACUCAUGUAAGACACACACACACAAGUCACAAACAGAAUGUAAACACAUGCAUUAAAGGACGUAUGGAAGGACGAUAUCAUCAGCAUAUCAUCAUUGCACAAGAGAUGGAUGACCUACACACACACACACACACACACAUAGAAUGCAGGUGUGCAUACACACACUCACAAAUACGUACACAAUAAAAACACAAAUGGAGCACACAGGUAGAUUACAUAAUUAGGGGACAGCUAGACACAUGCACACUUACACAUGCACAUCACAUGAAUAGGCAACACAACCUGCACAGUGUACAGUGCACACAGCCAACUAAACACACUCUUACCAACACGUAUUAUAGGUGCCCUCACACAGAUGCACCCUGACAUGCACUGCUUCCCACACUCUGCAGAGGAUCCUGCAGCCCCGCUCACACACACAGGACCGCAUGCCACACCUGGUGUCACUCUACUCAUGCAUCCAACACAAGCCCCGUGAAGGUGAAAAGAGGACAAUACCAUGGAAACGGUCAAGCAGCAGCCAGACCACAUGUUCAACGCAAGAAGCACUCCGCCGCCCCUCUUCCGCAUCUGUUGAGUUUCAGUCAUGAUGUGUCUGAAGUAUAUCGUACAAGUCUGGGAAGGAACACAUGAGUUUAUCCUUCAUCUUGACCAGACCACACUGACUGGAUGAGGGAACUGGCUUCCUGCUGGCUGUACUUUGACUGGACAAGGAACUGGCUUCCUGCUGGCCGUACUUUGACUGGACAAGGAACUGGCUUCCUGCUGGCCGUACUUUGACUGGAUGAGGAACUGGCUUCCUGCUGGCCGUACUCACAGCUGCAGGUUGUCAACCUCUUCUCUACAAGCAAAAUAUCAGCCAUCCUUCAUCAUCCAAAACAAAGCAGCGAACUGUGGCGGCAUAUCGAUGCAACACUUUUCACUGAUUUCUGCUGCCUCAGCGCUCUGUGUGGAUACUAGUCGAUGUAAAUAAGAUACUUAGUUCUUCAAAUUAACAGUAAAAUGUUUGUAAUGUAUUUUUAAUUACUACAAUGAGACAAAACUAUGUUUUGUACAUAUGUCAGAGUGAAGUGACCGUGGUCCCGCAGGGUGAGGGUCGGUACAGAAUGUAAGGGAAAGGAAAUGCACACUCCACCGUGGAAGUACUGCGACUCUGAGGUGAACGUGUACAUUUUACCUGGAUUUGACAUUAAAGUGUACAUACGUAGGACAGUCAUGUUUUGAUUGAAGGUUUUAGUUGAGUUCCAUCUUCUACCAUUAAAAGAAUCAGUCAGCUCUUGCUGCCGCAGUA